AAUACGUUCCGGCCUUGUACACACCGCCCGUCAAGCCAUGGAAGUUGGGAGUAUCUAAAGUCGAUCACCGCAAGGAGUCGCCUAGGGUAAAACCAGUAACUGGGGCU
rnacentral:rRNA from 1 species